UACAGAGGUGGCAAGCGUUGUUCGGAUUUACUGGGCGUAAAGCGUGCGUAGGGGGUCGACAAAGUCUGAUGUGAAAUCUCACAGCUUACCGGUGAAACUGCAUUGGAUACUGGUCGGCUUGAGGACCGGAGGGGAAAGCGGAAUUCCAGGUGUAGCGGUGAAAUGCGUAGAUAUCUGGAGGAACACCAGCGGCGAAGGCGGCUUUCUGGACGGUUCCUGACCCUGAGGCACGAAGGCCAGGGGAGCAAACGGG
rnacentral:rRNA from 1 species